GACGAACGCUGGCGGCGUGCCUAAUACAUGCAAGUCGAGCGAAUCAUGAGGUGCUUGCACCUCUUGGUUAGCGGCGGACGGGUGAGUAACACGUGGGCAACCUGCCUGUAAGACUGGGAUAACUUCGGGAAACCGGAGCUAAUACCGGAUAAUCCUUUUCCUCUCAUGAGGAAAAGCUGAAAGUCGGUUUACGCUGACACUUACAGAUGGGCCCGCGGCGCAUUAGCUAGUUGGUGAGGUAACGGCUCACCAAGGCGACGAUGCGUAGCCGACCUGAGAGGGUGAUCGGCCACACUGGGACUGAGACACGGCCCAGACUCCCACGGGAGGCAGCAGUAGGGAAUCUUCCGCAAUGGACGAAAGUCUGACGGAGCAACGCCGCGUGAGCGAUGAAGGCCUUCGGGUCGUAAAGCUCUGUUGUUAGGGAAGAACAAGUACCGGAGUAACUGCCGGUACCUUGACGGUACCUAACCAGAAAGCCACGGCUAACUACGUGCCAGCCGCCGCCGUAAAAC
rnacentral:rRNA from 1 species